rnacentral:rRNA from 1 species
CCUACGGGGGUCAGCAGUGGGGGAUAUUGCACAAUGGGGGAAACCCUGAUGCAGCGACGCCGCGUGAGUGAAGAAGUAUUUCGGUAUGUAAAGCUCUAUCAGCAGGGAAGAAAAUGACAGUACCUGACCAAGAAGCCCCGGCUAACUACGUGCCAGCAGCCGCGGUAAUACGUAGGGGGCAAGCGUUAUCCGGAUUUACUGGGUGUAAAGGGAGCGUAGACGGGUAUGUAAGUCUGGAGUGAAAGCCCGGGGCCAAACCCAGGGACUGCUUUGGAAACUGUGUAACUGGAGUACAGGAGGGGCAGGCGGAAUGCCUGGGGUAGGGGUGAAAUGCGUAGAUAUCAGGAGGAACACCGGGGGCGAGGGCGGCCUACAGGCCUGAAACGGACGUUGAGGCACGAAAGCGUGGGGAGCAAACAGGAUUAGAUACCCGAGUAGUC